rnacentral:rRNA from 1 species
UGGGGAAUAUUGCACAAUGGGCGCAAGCCUGAUGCAGCAACGCCGCGUGAACGAUGAAGGUCUUCGGAUCGUAAAGUUCUGUUGCAGGGGAAGAUAAUGACGGUACCCUGUGAGGAAGCCCCGGCUAACUUCGUGCCAGCAGCCGCGGUAAUACGAAGGGGGCUAGCGUUGUUCGGAUUUACUGGGCGUAAAGCGCACGUAGGCGGACUAUUAAGUCAGGGGUGAAAUCCCGGGGCUCAACCCCGGAACUGCCUUUGAUACUGGUAGUCUUGAGUUCGAGAGAGGUGAGUGGAAUUCCGAGUGUAGAGGUGAAAUUCGUAGAUAUUCGGAGGAACACCAGUGGCGAAGGCGGCUCACUGGCGCGAUACUGACGCUGAGGUGCGAAAGCGUGGGGAGCAAACAGG